GCUAACUACACCUGGUACAAGGAGAAUGAAGACUCACCAAAAGCUUCAGGACAGAUCUUCACCAUCACUGACUUCAGACCUGAACACAGAGGGAGUUAUUACUGUGAAGCCCAGAACAGAAGAGGACGUCAUAACUCCACCUUACACCUGGUUGGUGUCACAGGUUCAGUGAAAUCAGCAGUAGCUGGGUCAUUAACAGUUUUUUUCCUGGUCAUCAUUUUCCUGUCUGUCUUCCUGCUGAUUAGUCAAGUGUGGGUCCAGAAAAUGACAACGCUGCAGCUACAACACAGAGAAUAUCAGCAGAGCAGCAGGAUGAAGUUUGUUACGCCACCGUAAGUUUCUCUAAGAACCAAGAAGAUCCUCUCUACUCCGACAUCACGCUAGCUCAAUACAACAAACAGAAGAAGAAGGCAGAGAAGGAGGGAGAUGAUGUAGUGUAUAAGCUAUCCAGUUUACUUCUUCAGGGUGAGUCUUUUACCUUUUUAUUAAAUUCCCUCAAAGUCUGCACUACAUGUAUAAUGUGUAACUUGACUGGUGGAUGGAGGUAACCAUUGUAGCAUCACCAGGGGGCAGGUGUUAGAGUGCCGCUACAUUCUCCUACAAAGCUGGCCUCAGCCUCACAAAAUGGCCGCCCCAACUACACUUCCCAGCAGGCCUCACUUCCCUCCCAGGUGGAGCUGCUCAGGUCCCCUAAUUAAGAGAGAGCUGGGAAGAAAAUAGAGGAGCUGAGGACAGAAGAUGGCUUUUUAUUGGUGUGGGAGGAGCUGGAGGAGAACGGAUGGCGAGGAGACUGCAAACAGGGGAGUGAGUUAAAAGAGGAAGCAUUUGUGGAGGAAGAUUAUGUUGAGGUGGAAGGACUUAGAGGACCUCCUAACUCCUGUGGGACGCUUUCAGUUGAGUAGUAGUGGACUUUUUCUUCGGAACAAUAAAGUUUGUUUGCCCUUUUGGACCUUGUUUUGCCUGUUUUUUCAGUUUUUGCACUGCCUCCACUCGUCCCGAGUAGACUAUCACCUUCAUAUUUGAGCAGUUGAUAUGUGUGAUAAGACUAAACAAACCUUAAACAAAUCUAAGUCUUUAAUUUUGAUUCAUUCUAAGUGUACUUUACAUUUGUAAGUGGUGCCCCCUUUUGACGAGUGCAGUUAUUACACUUAAAUGUUUAAUAAUUUGAUUCUACAACAUUAAAAAAAAAAAAGAUUCAUGAAAGAAAAGAGAAAGGGGGGAAGAAGAAAGAGUGAUCAAAGAGAAUGACUGAGGACACUGACACUUGAAUGUGUGGGAGAGAGAUUCAUAUAUGGUUAGUGUGUGAGAACCAAACUCGGUCACAUCGCGGUGAGGUUAAGUUGGGCUUUUGUCCUCUCUCCAUGUUUUGUCUCAUCACUUCCUGUUUUAUUUUGAAGAGUAACUCUCCUCUCGUUUCAGGUCACUCGCCCUUCCUUGUGUGUCACCGGUCUGAUUGUCUUCCCUGAUUCCCGAUUACUUCCACCUGUUCCCCAUUACCUCCAUGCGUUCAAAUAGUCUGCAUCUCCAUUUGUCUUGUGCCAGAGUUCUCGUCUUUGUCGUAGUGCGUUCACCACAGCCUUGACCAUGAUUGUUAUGUGGAUUUUGUUCCGUUUCCUCUGAAGAGAGGUUUUUGUUCGCAAGUUUUUACCAUACUGAUUUUCCUCUGAUUAUGACUUUGGUCUUUUGUGUUUUCCUCCUUUAGUGGAGUGAUUUUUAGUUUUGUCUUUUCUUGAAAGAAGUGUUUCAGAGGUCGUUUUUUUUUAAGAGCCUGCUUUGUUUUCAUUGUCUUGGAUUUUUGAACCUGAGAUUUCUUAAUAAAGACUGUUAAGGAGAAAACUAAACCCUUGCAUCUGCAUCCUGAGUCCUUGUCUGGUCGUGACACACAAGGUUUAUGACUCUGACACGUUGAGGAACAUCAUCCAGUGUUCCUGCCUGAGUGUAGCCUGGUACAAUAAACCCAUAUAGGGGGAAAAAAGUCUUCAAUUUACAUGAAAAAAUAUGUCCAUCAGUUGCACAUAUUAAAGUUAUGUUUACCCAAACUUCUUUGUGUUUAGUAUACUCAAUUUUUCUUCGUCUGAAUAAAUUUUCAUAGAUUUA